rnacentral:other from 1 species
GCUUCCCUGUGAUGCUCGAGCACAACAUCAAUUCUUGAGCCAACAUGAAUCAACGGGAUCGAAACUGGCUGUGGUGAGCAUGCCUCUUCGGAGGAAGCCUGAAACAGUUCACGGAGAACCCACCUGUCCUUGGCAGGUUCAAAAACUGAUUUUGGCACGGCAUACGCGGGGAAGCA